GCAAGUCGAGCGGUAGAAUGAUUAAAGAAGCUUCGGUGGAAUUAAUUGAUUGAGAGCGGCGAACGGGUGAGUAACACGUUGGUAUCUGCCCCCAAGUCAGGGAUAGCCAUUGGAAACGAUGAUUAAUACCGGAUAGUCUCUUCGGAGUAAAAAUUUAUUGCUUGGGGAGGAACCUGCGGUCUAUCAGCUAGUUGGUGAGGUAAUAGCUCACCAAGGCUAUGACGGAUACCUGGUCUGAGAGGAUGAUC
rnacentral:rRNA from 1 species